UCCUUUAUUAAACACCAUACAGUUGUAUUUACUAUUUCCUGCUCGCUCUCUCCUCUCAAUCUUCUUUCCCUCGCUCUUUGUACUAUCUUCACCCCAUUCCUCCCAUCGCUCAUUUGGCUCAAAACCAAAUGUCCCCAGGUGCUGCGACCCUUCUAGAACGUCCCAGAACCUUCUCGAAGCUCCUAUGCACUCUCGUCUUCACCCGACCCAUGGGCGGUGGGCCCCGGACCUUCCCCGGUGGCGUAACUAAGUGGCAAUGGAGGCGUAUGCAUGAGAAAAAAGCCAGAGCGAAAGAGAUGAGACGUAUUGAGCAAGAAAAGGAGCUUUAUCAGGCUCGAAUUCUGUCCUAUAUCAGGGCUAAACUCUCCGGUAAGUCCGACCCACCUAUAAGCCCGAACCCUUCAACCGGUGGCGGGCCGAGGAGCACCACCGAUCACAUUAAAGCCCUAGCCAAUCGCUUCAUGAAAGAAGGAGCCGAAGAUUUGUGGAACGAAGAAGACGGUCCGUUGAAAUCCUCGCCUCCGCGGGGACCGAAUGGAUGGUCAGGGUUUAUUGGAUCGAACAGACAGAGAUGAUCGGUCGUAUCGCUGAUCGACUUGAGGAAGCCGGUAUGGGAAGGGCGGGAAAAUGUGAAUUUGAUAAACUCGAAUUCCGUAAAUACAAGGAAUUAUUCUGUGCAAAGCCGGAGGCGUUUUCGGAGAAAUGAAGGCUCGGACGAAGACUCGGAUUACGGUCCAGUAAAGGAGCCAGCAAAGCCCUUUGCAAAAAAUUUGGGGGGAAAUUGUGAGGAUUUGAACUCGAGCAGUGUGAAACGUUUGGUUCAAAGGAGAAGGUUCUGUAGUGACGAUUAUUUGGGUUUGGACUUCGAGGGACAGUCGGCUACGUAUUCCGCGGGUAAUUGUGGGGAAGGCUGACUGUGGAAGGAGAGGACUUGGAGGAUGAGAAGGUUGGAAUGAGAGGUGGGAGGGGAGUGAGGAAGGUUGGGAGCAGUGCGUCUCUCGGUAAGUAUGAUAUGAAGAUCGCUAAAAGAGUGCUGCUGCGGCUGUUGGAAGAGGAAAGUGUUUUUCCGGGUCAGGUUGAGUUGAUAAUGCGUGAACUUAGCAAGAAGAGUUUUGGUCGAGAAUGUUACUUCUGGUUUCUAAGAGAGUAUUAGAAAUGAGAGAAUGAAGUAUCGAGGUAUGGUAUCGAGGUAUUUCUGGUACAAAAACUAUGGAAAUUAUUGUAUUAAAAUCUCGUAGAUUUAUCUGUAUUUCAUUCGUUGGCGUAUGAAAGUGUAGUUUUUAAUCUUUUGGUAGAUUUGUUUUUUUUAUAUUAUAGGCAAAAUAAAAUUUUAUUGAAUUAAAUAAAUAGGCAAUUGCCCAAGUACACAGGAAGUAUUGAUAGAUUUGUCUUUCCGAUAUAUGGUUGUAUGGUGUAUGGAUUAUCAGGGUUUUGGAAUGGGAAAUUUCUCUGUGCUAACAGGUUUGAUGAAUGUGGCAUAUCUUCAAUGACAGUCGAGGCACACACUGCUGCUGGUUAUGUUCAAAUGACACGGGUACAGGAGGCGGCUGCUCUAUCUGCUUGCCUUGAGGGUGCACAGAAUCUGCUCUUUAGAAUGUGCAGAGAUGCUGGCUGUAAAUAGCAGUACCUUGAACUUAUGAGAAUAUCUUAUAGCUGGUCCGUCUGCUGAAGAUCAAAUAACAGCCCUCCAAUUACAUUUUGCCGUGUACCUCUUCCAUUUCUCAUUCCAUGUACCUGUCUACACUGAAUCUUCCAUUUCUCAUUCCAUGAAAAACCUUCCUCCUCUCCCUCUUCCACCAAGGCUCACACCGGUCACUGCCGAUCUGCUCACCUGGUCGAACGUCUCUACGGUCAUCUUCUCCGACGCGGAAGCCUCCUCCUAUCCCUUUUCCAUCGAAGCUCAGUCCGAAAACCCCCAAUCUGCUCACCUGGUCCAAGGUAUCUAUAGAAAUCUCUCUCUCUCUCUCUCUCUCUCGCCCCCCCCCCCCCCCCCCCCCCCCCCCCCCCAAAAAAAAAAAAAAAAAAAUCUUCUUCUCUGCAACAAGAAUGGAAGGUAGGAAUGAAUACCAAAAAGGGCUGUGGACAGAGGAGGAUUGGAUUUUAAUGGAUUGCAUAAGGGUGCAUGGAAAAGGCAAGUGGAAUCGAAUCACGAAAAUGUCAGGUUUGAAGAGGGGUGGCAAAAGUUGCAGAUGAAGGUGGAUAAAUUGUCAAAGUCCUAGUGUGAAGCGGGGUGGUUUUUCAGAGGAAGAAGAGGACCUCAUAAUUCGGCUCCAUAACCUUCUGGGAAACAGGUCUGCUUCUUUGAUCAUUAAUGAUCUUUAUACGUUUUUAAUUUCUUCCUGCAUGUUUUCCAGUGUCAGUACUAUCGAUCAUUAGCCUCUUGAAAAUCUGAACUUUCCUUGCUGCAACUAUGAUUGUCUCCAUUAAUAUAUUUAAUAAAACAAAGAAUCCAGUGAGAAGUCAGUGCAAAAAUCAAAUCAUGGAGUGGCGGAGGAGACAGCGGUGACCUCUGUCAAUGACGAUGGCUACUAGGUUGGGUGAAGGCUGUGAUGGACAAUGGAAGAAGCUGAGAGAGAAAAAGCUUCGACAGAUAGGGGGCGACGGAGGAAAACCACAGUGGGGGGCGACGGAGCUUGGUCGUGCGAUGAUGUUGUCUGGCUGUGGCGGCCAUGGAGCUGGUUUGGUGCGGUGCGGCUGUGGUCUGAGUAUAUAGUGCGGUGGCAGUUCGAAAGAUAACAAGGUUGAAGUCGAAGUUCUUUCUCAGAGAGUUUUAGUCAGAUGAGAUCAAGUGUUCUCUGUUUUGUGUAAGAUCUCCUACGUGUCUUUUGUUGAUUGGGGGCUGUUAAACACACAACUUCAGCCCAACCGUUUCGAAGAGGAACAGUAAACUUAUAUGAUCUAUUCUUAAUUUCAAUGGACCAUUUAUGACUUCUA